rnacentral:rRNA from 1 species
UACGAAGGGUGCAAACGUUGCUCGGAAUUAUUGGGCGUAAAGCGCACGUAGGCGGCCAGUCGAAGUCCGAUGUGAAAGCCACCGCGUACCACGUGGAAGUGCACUCGAAACUGCAGGGCUAGAGUCCUGGAGAGGAAGGUGGAAUGCUUGGUGUAGAGGUGAAAUUCGUAGAUAUCAGGAGGAACACCUGCGGUGUAGACGGCUUACUGGACCGUAACUGACGCUGAGGCACGAAAGCGUGGGUAGCAAACAGG